AUAACCUACCUAUAAGACUGGGAUAACUUCGGGAAACCGGAGCUAAUACCGGAUAAUAUUUUGAACCGCAUGGUUCAAAAGUGAAAGACGGUCUUGCUGUCACUUAUAGAUGGAUCCGCGCUGCAUUAGCUAGUUGGUAAGGUAACGGCUUACCAAGGCAACGAUGCAUAGCCGACCUGAGAGGGUGAUCGGCCACACUGGAACUGAGACACGGUCCAGACUCCUACGGGAGGCAGCAGUAGGGAAUCUUCCGCAAUGGGCGAAAGCCUGACGGAGCAACGCCGCGUGAGUGAUGAAGGUCUUCGGAUCGUAAAACUCUGUUAUUAGGGAAGAACAUAUGUGUAAGUAACUGUGCACAUCUUGACGGUACCUAAUCAGAAAGCCACGGCUAACUACGUGCCAGCAGCCGCGGUAAUACGUAGGUGGCAAGCGUUAUCCGGAAUUAUUGGGCGUAAAGCGCGCGUAGGCGGUUUUUUAAGUCUGAUGUGAAAGCCCACGGCUCAACCGUGGAGGGUCAUUGGAAACUGGAAAACUUGAGUGCAGAAGAGGAAAGUGGAAUUCCAUGUGUAGCGGUGAAAUGCGCAGAGAUAUGGAGGAACACCAGUGGCGAAGGCGACUUUCUGGUCUGUAACUGACGCUGAUGUGCGAAAGCGUGGGGAUCAAACAGGAUUAGAUACCCUGGUAGUCCACGCCGUAAACGAUGAGUGCUAAGUGUUAGGGGGUUUCCGCCCCUUAGUGCUGCAGCUAACGCAUUAAGC
rnacentral:rRNA from 1 species